rnacentral:rRNA from 1 species
GACGAACGCUGGCGGCGUGCUUAACACAUGCAAGUCGAACGGAAAGGCCUCUUUCGGGGGGUACUCGAGUGGCGAACGGGUGAGUAACACGUGAGUAACCUGCCCUUGACUUUGGGAUAACUUCAGGAAACUGGGGCUAAUACCGGAUAGGAGCUCCUGCUGCAUGGUGGGGGUUGGAAAGUUUCGGCGGUUGGGGAUGGACUCGCGGCUUAUCAGCUUGUUGGUGGGGUAGUGGCUUACCAAGUCUUUGACGGGUAGCCGGCCUGAGAGGGUGACCGGCCACAUUGGGACUGAGAUACGGCCCAGACUCCUACGGGAGGCAGCAGUGGGGAAGAUUGCACAAUGGGUGGAAGCCUGAUGCAGCAACGCCGUGUGCGGGAUGACGGCCUUCGGGUUGUAAACCGCUUUCGCUCAUGACGAAGCUUUGUGUGACGGUAGUGGGUAAAGAAGCACCGGCUAACUACGUG